AUGUUUUUCUUAUCUAGUUUUAUCUAUAAGGAAACAUUCCAUGAAAAACUUUAUUUUUGAAAGGCUUCAUCAAUCACGGGAAGUCCUUGUUCAUAGCAUAUCAAAUAUGUUAAAUAUCAACUCUAGAGAAGUCUUUCUCAUGAAAUAUAGAGCAAGGAUGAUGUCAAGUUGUCCCUCAUUCUAAUCAUGUUACGACGUUGAUAUGGCUUCCACAGCAAUGAAAAUUCAUUCAAGGGAAAGGAGCGAUUGAAUGUAACGAUAAUGCUCAUUCACAUGACUUACUUUCUUUUAAUUUUUCUCAAGCAGUGACUAUAAAUGCGGUUUCAAUCUACGAGUAUUGUCGAAUGAGGGAAAAAAUACGAAAAAGGGAAAUGAGAGAUUUAAUGUAAUAAUAACGAGAAUUUCGUUCACCUAACUUACUUUUCUUUAGGCUUUUGUAUAAGGUAGUGAACAUGAACGCGGUUUCAAUAUAUGUUAUUGCUGGUGAACGAGUGAAAGAAAAAAACACAAAAAAAAAAAAAAAAAGAUGAAGGAAAAGAAGUGAUUUAAUGAAAUGAUAAUUUUCAUUCACCUAACUUACUUUCCUUAGUCUUUUGUCUCAAGUAGUUGAAUAUAAAUGCGUUUCCAAUCUACGGAUAUUGCCGAAUAAGGGGAAAAAUCCAAAAAGUAAAAAAGAAGGGAAAUGAGCAAUCUAAUGUAAUAAUAAUGAGAAUUUCAUUCACAUGACUUACUUUUCUUUAGAAUUUUAUCUCAACCAAUGAACUUAAUAGUUUCAAUCUAUGUUAUUGCAAAGGAACGAGUGAGAAAGAAUAAAAAUAAAAAAUAAAAAAUAAAAGGAAAAGGAGAGAUUUAAUGAAAAAAGAGUGAUUUAAUGUAAUUGUAAUGUUAAUUCACCAGUCUACUUAUUUUUGUAAACUUCUUUCUUGAGAUUGGAUCUUGACACAGAAAAUUUAUCUAUAUAACGAUUCAAUCGGCCGUCUUGAGUUUUAGAAACUCUUUCACCAAUUUGAGACUUUCCGAGGUUCAUUGGGUGAUCUAUAACUUGCAAGUAUCGGUAGCAUGAGCCCCGUGGGGCUCGGGAGCAAUUUGGUAUGCCUACUUUUUCACUCGAAACCUCAAGUUCAUAAGAAUUGACCAAACUAUUUGAGAGUUUGAAUUCAUGAGUAAAUGAAGGUUCUAAAAGGUUCGUAGGAUGAUUUUGGACGUGUUUGUAAAUUUUGGUUAGUUUCUGAGGUGGCUCGGGCCGGUUUAGAACACAUUCCGCAUAAAUUGCAUUUUGAAUGGAAUAUAAGAAACUCAACCCCUCAUUUUGUUCAUUGGUGGUCAAAAGAGUAAUUCGACCACAUGUUAGGUCCGUAUCAUUUUUUGUGACUUAUACAAAUUGGCUUCGUCCAAUUCCGAGUACGUUUGAUAUGUCUCUGACCAUUUUAAAGCAAUUUGAGAGUCAGAGAUUUUCAGUUGUCAUCUAGUGCAUCAUCUGUAGAUCAGUCAUUCGCGAACAAGAAGAAGGCAACGCGAACACGUAGGGGAAAACUCGGGCUUGGUCCACGAUCGUCGGAAGAAGCUUCUCGAUUGCGAAGGAGGCUCAUUAAGGUAUUAUAAUAAAUUUUUUCAAGACAACAUGUCAUUUCCACCAUUUUUUAGUUUAGAGCUCAAUCGGAGGGAUUUUUCACCUACAAACUUUGGGUAAGUGAUUCUAACUCAAUAAUGAUCAUUUUGCAAGGAUACCACUAAUUUACAUGCCUAGAUUCAUGGAUUUGAAUGUGGGCGUUGAGAUUUUAGCCCUCGGUCUAAAGAGUGAAAUUUUGAGGAUUUGAUAUCGGAUUUUUUGUUUUGAGUACAAUUUUGAACUCAUACAAGUAUGGGUAAUGUGCUUAUGUAAUAAAGUUAUGAUUUUGACCACCAGGCUCAGAUUUGACUUUUUGCUUGA